rnacentral:lncRNA from 1 species
AGGCGGGCAGUUUGUCGCUGUUUGUCGCAGGUUUUCUGUGCAAUGCUCACGGUCCAGCAGGUUUUGUGCAUGCACACUUUUGUCAAAACGGCGAGGUGGUGAGGCGGAAUUUUUCCGUCUCUCUCGAAAAGGUGCAGUUUGCCGGGGAUCUCUGGCGGUCUAGGAAGUUGUCCAGGCGUUGCCGCUGUCCUGAAUGAUUGUGGGCAGUCAUUCCUGGCGUCGUCGUGUACAGAACAACGGAAUUGUCUGGAAGACACCGAGUAUCAGCGUCGUAGAUGCACAGAUGGACAUAAUUGACCGUUGUACAGUUUGUGAGAAGCUGCACUCUCUACCCAGGCCACCUAUCGUUCUGAGAAGGGAGAAAGCCCGAGAAUUGGUGGAGGAAACGCCUUUAUUGAAAGAUGAGACACAGGCACAGCUUAGUGACCUGUCUUACCGGAUUCUUCACACCCGCAAUACAAUUCGAAUGAAGGGCGUGUCUGUUUUUACUAGACAUCUUAACUUUUCACAAAUCCGAGAAGCAAACGAUUUUUCUCCCGUUCGUGGGCGCCUCUCCAAAGAGUGCUAGGCCUUCUUCCCCUUUCCGCCGGGCAACGAAGAAAGAACUAGAGAUAGACAAACAGCGGGAGAGGGAAAACGCUCCUCUCCCAUGCGCUGCUCUGCCCGCAGGGUGCGCCUGUUCCGGGACACAGACAGCCUGCGAUCGGAAGAGCCAGAUUCGUAUACAUCUGCGAAGACGUCGCGAAAGAUUUCCUUUGGAUGCCUGAAAUCAACGGCAGAGGAGAAGCACGCAUCCUUGUGUCUCUAUCUAUGGAGAAAUGUCGG